AAAAAAAAAAAAAAAAAAACUUUGCAGCCAGCAUCACUCGAAGUCUUUGAGAAGGAUGAACUAGAGUCUUUGAGAAGGAUGAAACCGAGCAAGAAAAGCUUACAACCAUGGAAAUGCCAGAGACCACAGAGGACCUUGUCAAAGCUCUUAAGCAAUCUCAUGUCCAACAAGGGACAUGAUGGCCUUCUAAGGCACUUAAAGUCCUCGAGAUAAUCAGCUCAGCUCUAUAUUCUCACCUGCAAAGAAGAACAAAGCAAAGGAAAGCCUAACAACCACAACAAGCAGACCCAAAAUCAAGCCUCUCUUUUUUCCAUAGUUCUGCAAACCAAAUGAGCAACAAAAAGGAACUAUUUACACAUCAACCCAAAGGUGGGGAAAGGAAACCCACACUCCAGUUGGAGGAAAAUUUUCUUCUCUUGUUUGGAAGGGGUAAGGAAAGCCUCUCACGCUCUGUUUGGAUGGGGUGAGG
rnacentral:misc_RNA from 1 species